rnacentral:rRNA from 1 species
GAUGAACGCUGGCGGUAUGCUUAACACAUGCAAGUCGAACGGUCACUUCGGUGCUAGUGGCGGACGGGUGAGUAACGCGUGAGAAUCUGUCUUCAGGUCGGGGACAACAGUUAGAAAUGACUGCUAAUACCGGAUGUGCCUUUGGGUGAAAGAUUUAUUGCCUGAAUAAGAGCUCGCGUCGGAUUAGCGAGUAGGUGGUGUCAGAGACUACCUAGGCUCCGAUCUGUAGCUGGUCUGUGAGGACGAACAGCCACACUGGGACUGAGACACGGUCCAGACUCGUACGGGAGGCAGCAGUGGGGAAUUUACCGCAAUGGGCGAGAGCCUGACGGAGCAAGAGCGGGUGAGGGACGAAGGCGUUGGGGUCGUAAACCGCUAUUCACGAGGCAGAUGAUGACGGUACUUGAGGAAUAAGCACCGGCUAACUCUGUG